CCUUCAUGAAGCUGGAAUUGCUAGUAAUGGCAGGUCAGCAUACUGCCGUGAAUACGUUCCCGGGCCUUGUACACACCGCCCGUCACACCAUGAGAGUUGGAAAUACCCGAAGCCUGUGAGCUAACUUAAAGAGGCAGCAGUCGAAGGUAGAGCCAAUGAUUGGGGGUGAAGUCGUAACAAGGUAUC
rnacentral:rRNA from 1 species